AAAAAAAAAGCUUGCUGGUGGUGCAGAAAGAAGUCUGGUCACAACUGGGUACAGCAAACGAGCUGGGUACCCCAAAGAUAUCUCACCAGUUCUAGUCGAAGAUCUGAUCUACCUGCACCUGCAUCACGCCCAGACCCUCAAGCCUCGCUGAAAGGGUGCUGCAGACCCUCUGGGCCCCUUUGUCUGUGUGGAAUGGGUCUCUAGUGGACAAAGUGUCAGAUGAAUUGACAAACAGAUGCACACAGGAGAGGUUGUGUUGGAUCUGAAUGUAAUGUCAAAUCGAGCAUCAGACUUUUUAUGCAGAAGACAAUAAGGAAGUUGGGUGACAUAUUCACAAGGUACAAAUGAGGUAACCAGAAUCUUACAUAAAACAGAGGAAUGCAAACACAAAAGGUCUAAUGGGAACCACCCGGGAUAGAAUUCAUUGUUAACAACUGGGUUCAAAAAGGGCUCCACCUAAGAUUCGUUUAAUCUUAGAAGCCAGGGUCAAGGGCUUCGUGCCCUUGCCAUAGUUCCUAUGUUAGUCUAUUGUAUAGUCUACCUUCCCCUUAGGCCAUUGUAAAGUUCCGUUCUAGUUAACCAUUUCAUGAAUAAUGCAAUACUCUAAAACCACAGCCCGAUCUAGUUCCUAAACCAUUGUAAAUUCCUGUAUAUGGGAGCCACUUGGCUUUUAUUGAUAGUGUAAUACCAGAGGCUAUUCUAAAUGUCACUGUCUAGCUCAAGGACAUUCUAGGAAUGUUGGAACACUGGCAGAAGCCUUUAGCUAUGUCAGAAUUCAAUCUUAAAAGGCACUUAUAAUAAAGAGAGCACAUGGAUCCAUCCACUAGACUAAGGCGGGAAUGGAAAAUUUAGAGAGCACGCCAAACUCCAGGAGCGAGUUUCCAUGAAACUCUUUUGCCUCGAGAGUAGCUUUCAAGCCUCUCGGCUUAUCAAGCUGACUCGACCAGAGCGCGUGGCAAAAGGGUCCCUGCCUAGUCCUGUUUCCUACCCCUUCUUAUCCUGUUUUUGUUCUUAACCUUUGGCCCAUGUAUCCUUAAUUGUAGAGUAGAAGUUAAUAUACUUAGACAACAAUAUCAGUAACUGUAACAAAAGUGAGAUAUCAUUUCAGGAUUGAAAUGUACCUGGGAAAAGGGGGGUGGGAAUGUAAUAUCCAAAAUGAAUUCAAGACCACCCAAUACCUUCCCCCUUCGAAAAGAACUUUCCAAACUGUACUAGCAGGCAAAGUGCAGAUCCAAAUAAGGAAGCUGAGUAAACAAAUGUAAAAACAUAGUUUUAGCGGUCAAAAUUAUUAAGCCUGCAGCUACCAAAAUAAUAUUAGCUGUUCUCAAAGAAAUAGCCAUAACAAGAUUAGCAAUUCUACUGUCUCCUCCCUUCUGACAUGGGUUAAAUGUUAUCCAUAUGCUCUGCUGACACAGAUAAGCACCUGCGCCCUUCAGAAUUGCUGUUACCUUGAUCUGCACGUACAAUUUGCUGAUGUUUAUACUGUCCAAUUGUGUGUAACUGCACCAAUUUCCCCUAUCCCCCGACUUUUUUCCUAUAUAAACACCUAACUUUUGAGCCUCAGGGUCGACUCCUCUGUUUCCUGCUAGAGAUAUAUGUCAGCUGAAGCUCUGUCAUUAAACUGCCUUGUGUGUUUGCA
ensembl:lincRNA Gm37276 predicted gene, 37276